rnacentral:lncRNA from 1 species
UUCAAUAUUUUUUUAGUUCGUAAAUUAAAAUUUUUAUUUCAAUCGUCCUUCAACUCUUCAUUUGAUAUCAAAACGGUCCUACCAUCCAAUUUUCCGUUCAAUUGAAUCAUGGGGAGGGCACCUGCUCCAAUUUUAGGGACAAAUUGGACUUUUUACCCCAAAAAAAAAAAAAGUACAAUUUAUAAAUUUAAAACAAACAUUAAAAAAAAAACCACAAAUUUUAAAAAGUAUUAACACAGUUACCCUCACAACCCCAUCCCUUAGGGGUGGUUGCGGUUCGGUAACUGCGAAUUUUUGCCCAAACCGCAAACCGACCGACUACUUGCGGUAUGAUGAUUUUUGAAACCGCAAAAAGCGGUCGGUUACCGUGAAUUAGCGGUUAAAAACUGCAAGUUCUUUUUGUGUCAUAAAAAUCCAAUCUUCCACAUUUUAGGCCUAGUUUUGAAGCCUUUUGAGUUCAAGCAUACUUUAACCCAAAAAUAUAAAUUUACAACCUAAAGAAAUAAAUUCACAGCCUCAACUUCUCAAGCAUAUAUAAAUUCACAACCUCCUCAACUUCUCAAGCAUUCACAACCUAAAGAAAAUUAAAGUUACAAUUCCAUGCAUUCCAAUUAAAGUUAAACUUCUCAAGCAUUCACAACCUCAACUUCUCAAGCAUUCCAAUUCCAAAUCCUUUAAAGUUACAAACCAAAAGGAAAAUGCAACGCAAAAUGAAUUAAAGUUACAACUCAAAGGAAAAAUCCAAUUCAAAGUUAAUUAAAGUUACAAACUAAAAGGAAAAUGCAAUGCACCAAUGUUACAAACUCAAGUGUUGGUGGUGGUGAGUGGAUUUGAAGGACCCUGUUGUGUUGUUUGAGCACCAAUGCUAUCUACAAAUAAAACAACAUAAGUUUAGUACAUUUUAUUAUAAGAAGAAGCAUAAAUAAACUAAUUACUUACAAGAUAAGUGGUCUUGUUAUACAACGGCUACGAUUAAACAAUAAAAUGCAAUUUUUAUUUAUUUUUAAAUAUAGUCGCGGUUUGCGGUAACCACAAGUUGUGAAAAUCAAAUACUACAAAUGCGGUUUGGUUCUUCAUACCGCAAAUGCAGUUCGGUUUCCCGUGAUUGCAAUUCCAUUGCGGUUAAAUGUCGGUUG